rnacentral:misc_RNA from 1 species
GAUGAAGACGUAGCGAAAUGCGAUAAGUAAUGUGAAUUGCAGAAUUCAGUGAAUCAUCGAAUCUUUGAACGCACAUUGCGCCCGCCAGCAUUCUGGCGGGCAUGCCUGUUCGAGCGUCAUUUCAACCCUCAAGCUCUGCUUGGUGUUGGGGCCCUACGGUUGACGUAGGCCCUUAAAGGUAGUGGCGGACCCUCUCGGAGCCUCCUUUGCGUAGUAACUAACGUCUCGCAUUGGGAUUCGGAGGGACUCUUGCCGUAAAACCCCCAAAUUUUCUAAUGGUUGACCUCGGAUCAGGUAGGAAUACCCGCUGAACUUAAGCAUAUCAAUAAGCGGAGGA